CAGAGCUAUUGUAAAUGUCUCGUGCUAGCCUGGUCAGUGAGCUACAGCAGUUCUCCAACUAGCCUUGUAGUGGUCACUAUGUCACCAAGUUUCCUGCCCCACCUAUUUUGCGUGGACGAGUGACACUUUGUGGUGUGGUCCGGUGUGGUCAGUAUUGGUUCUUAACUCAUAUUCCUUGACUCAGCUUGUUAGUGGGACUGUUCACAGAGGUUACUGCUCAUCUCGAGUCACAGAGGUUGAGAGCCUGGAUGGAUGCUCUCCACUGGACCAGAGUGACAGACAGUGAAGGACAGGCGGGGAGUGGGAGUUGCAGCUCCUGGUGUUGGCUGUCCCCCCACUUUCUGCUUAGCAGGGUGCAAAGAUGGGGAGUGGACCAUCCUGGAUGUCCUGUUACACAAGACUAAACAUGGCAGGGGUUGUGGUAAUCAGGCUCCACUCCCUAAGACUAUAAAGUCCCAUUAGAUAGAAAAGCCUAUGUGAAAUAUGAUGCAAUGGUUAAGUGUUGGAACACUGGAACAAUAACCCCACAUCUCCUCGUCUGAGACACAGCCCCUGAUCCCUGAGGAUGUACAUGUGAUUAAAGCUAGAUUUAUACUUGUGGGUAUGGUGGGGGAUAUGGUGUAGUAAUUGAGCAUAGGCACAUAGCCUGCAUAGCCACUCUCUAGCUGAUUUCCUCAAAAGUUUUGAGAGCGUGCAACAAUUUAACAGUCAAGUUCAAAUUCAAGUUUAAUGAACACAAAGCAAAACUCCCCAUCUACUGUUCAUUUGCAUUACAGAAAUCAGAUAUUAUAUUCACUAAUAGUAACAAAAAACCUGUCUAUUUGUUUAUUUGUCACCUACUGUUUUCACAAUCCUUCCUUAAAUCCAUAUGCGAUGAGGAGAGAGACCUUGCAAACAUGUGCAAAUUGUAAACUGCAACUUCAGCUGCUUGAUAAAUAUAGCACAUUUGGGGCAGAGUGUGUCUCAUCUUUUGCAUUUUCUCAUCUAUUUUUACAAAGUCUACAACGCGUUCCUUGACAGUGACCCAGCGGAGCACAGAGUCCUCUGUGCACAGCUGUAAACAUGCACUUCUUUUCUGCUCACCUAUGCACUUCUUUUCUGCUCACCUAUGCACGUCAUACUAGUCCUGAAAGUCGUGAAGUCGAUGUGUGAGAAUUCUUUUCUGUAUUCUGGAGCCAUGGAACAGCAUAAGUUGCCUACUUUAAUUAGAUGAGUCAAAUCCUUCUAGCAUUAAGUCAAAGGCACAACAAUGGCUGAUACACAGAGUUCCCUUAACAGAAUGAUGGUAUCUUGAUAUCUUUUUGGUGUCUAAUCUUUGAUUCACUUUUUUGUCACUUUAAUUUUAUCUUGAACUUAUUUAU